AGUUUGCGAAAGUCGUCCGCCAGGCCCAGACCGCUGGAUAGGAGGCUCUUGGCCGGGCCGGGGGCUGGGGGCCGGGAUGGCAGAGGGGGCCCUAGCUGCGCCCCGCCGCGCUGGGCCCUCGUCUCCGGGUGCUCUCAACCCUCAUACAGGCCCUUAGCCGUUCUCCUAGGGACCCUGCCCGGACAGGAGGAAAGGUUUCCGGCCCAUGGAGUUUAGUCUCAUUACAAAAGCAAAACAAGAAUAAGACUUACCAAGUUGCUUGCCGUUGGGGCUGAGGUCCAAGGAGGUGAUCGCAGCUUUGUGGCCUUUGAAAUAACGCUCCAGAACGGGGUCCUCCUGGAAAGGAAAGUUGUCAAGUUUUGAAAGCCGCCGCAGACCUCGAAUUCUGGCGGCUGGGAUCCACGCUGCCACUUCCCCGGAGUCCGGCUUGGGAAUGGCCACCCAGGCGGCGGCUUGGCUGGGCGGCGGGGCCGGGCAGCAGCCCACCCACGGGCGCGGCGCCCAGUCCUGCUACAGGGAGACGCCGGCGCCAGCUCUCCCCGCAGAGCCCGCAAAACGCUCUGUUCGCGCUUCCCAGAGUCCAGCGCAUCGCAGGAACCGCGGCCCCUUUGAAAUGCACGUUCCCGGGCCCCGCCCGCUGGCCCAAGGCAGGCAGGUGCGAGGAUGCGCCUCGGCUUUGGUACUUUUUUUUUUUUUAAUACUUCCUAGGUGAUUCUGACGCAGGCGCUCCACGGAAACCCUCCGAGAAUUCUGGGGGCCGUGGGGCCGCCCAGCUCAGUCCGGAGCUCCGGAACUCGGGGAAGAGCGUCCGGGAGCCGGGUCUGGGUUCCGCACUCCGUCCGCCCCGAUGGCAGAGAGUGAGAUACGGACGCCCCGGGACGAGGGGCUCAGGACCCGGCUACGGACACCUGCCUCCAUCUCCCUCCAGGUGCGGCUUCGGCCCGGACCUGGCCCCGCAGCCCGCGGGACAGGCUCCAGGGAGGGACCCCCCCCACCUCCAACCCGUCCUUACCGUGGCUGAGGCCAUCGGGGGAGUGGUCGGCCCAAGGCUCCUGUGGGUGGGGGAACCCGGAGAGGGGAGGGGAGAGGAUGGGGAAGGAGAGGGGACCGUGCGGCUCCCGGAACCGUCUGCCCAGAGCGGCAGCGCCUCCCGGUCACUACAACAACGGCGGCCCAGUCAAACCCCGCGCUCCAGGCAUGGCCAGCCGAGCCCCGAGACACCGCCAGCCCUGUAAAGAGAGGACGGGAGGUAUGCGCCGGGUCAGCUGUGGCCACACACCAAGCCAUGUUAACUAACACUCGCGUUCUCCCUGGUUUGAUGUCAGGAAGUGGGGUAGUAACCAGGACUGGAAUAAGAGCGAUGAAUGGAAGGGCGUUGUGAGCCUGUGAUCGAUGCGAUCAGAGUUCUAUUACGUUUUAAAGAGACAGCACCCGUGACGUUUAAGGUAUUUCACCCCAAUAAUAAAAUAAUAAUGCCAGAAGCUGAAGAGUAAUCAGGACCUCAGGAUUACUCAUAGGUAUGUUACGUCUAAUAUUGGGCACAGGAGAAGCAGAAAAGGGAAGAAGUUGGAGAUUUAGAAACUAGCUCACAAGAAGAAAAAAUAUAGAUUUUUAUUUAAGUGUUUUAGUAAAAGUUUAGCUUUUACUUUUUUUCUCAAUUAUCAAGAAACACAUGUUUUAAAUUUAAAAGAUGGGAGGGAAACUACAUAUUAAUCCUAUUACCUAAAGUUGAUCUUAAAAAAUUUGUCACCUACUGAUAUGGUUUGGAUUUGUGUCCCCACCCAACUGUCAUGUAGAAUUGUAAUCCCCAGUGUUGGAGGAGGGGGCUGGUGGGAGGUGAUUGGAUCAUGGGGGUGGAUUUCUCCCUUGCUGUUCUGAGUGAGUUAUCACGAGAUCUGGUUGUUUAAAAGUGUGUAGCACUUCCCCCUUUGCUCUCUUCCUCCUGCUCCAGCCAUGGAGCAGCCAUGCUCUCUUCCCCUUUGCCUUCCACCAUGUUUGUAAGUUUCCUGUGGCCUCCCCAGCCAUACUUCCUGUACAGCCUGCAGAACCAUGAGCCAAUUAAACCCGCUUUUUUUGUAAAUUACCCAGUCGCAGGUAGUUCUUCAUAGCAAUGUGAGAACGGACUAAUAUACCUACCUAUGUUUUCACUACAUGCCAGGACUUUUCUAAGUACCUUACAAAUUUUGACAUUUAGUGAUCAUAACGAUCUUAUUAGAGAUGUGCUAUUAUUACCAUUUCCGUUUUAUAGAUGAGUAAAUUGAUAUGCAAAGACAUUAAGUUACUUGCCCAAGGCACACUGCUAACUAGGAAGUGGCAGAGUUGAGAUUUUUAGACACUCGCAGUCUGCCUCCAGAAUCCACUCUCUCUUUUUUUUUUUUUUUUUUGAGACGGAGUCUCACUCUGUCGCCCAGACUGGAAUGCAGUGGCGCGAUCUCGGCUCACUGCAAGCUGCUCCGCCUCCCAGGUUCACGCCAUUCCCCUGCCUCAGCCUCCCGAGCAGCUGGGACUACAGGCGCCCGCCACCAAGCCCGGCUAAUUUUUUUUGUAUUUUUUUUUUAAUAGAGACUGGUUUUCACCGUGUUAGCCAGGAUGGUCUCAAUAUCCUAACCUCGUGAUCCGCCUGUCUCGGCCUCCCAAAGUGCUGGGAUUACAGGUGUGAGCCACCUCACCUGGCCCAGAAUCCACUCUCUUAAUCACUGUCAUGACUUUUGUGUGAUUGCAAGUGUUAUGUAAAUGUAUAAAACAUUGCAUUCUUGCCAAGGUUUAUAAUAAUAAGUUUUACAAAAUGAAAGUAAUAUCUCCUUUAUUUUCAUUCCACUGUCCUCAUUUAUUACUCUAAACUGCCCUUCCCAUUGUUCUUUUCCAUAGUAUUUGAUUUUGUUCUUUUCGGCUUUUCUUCACCUUUGCAAAUAGCAAAAGCUCAGAGGUAGACAAUUGGAAAUGUGGUCAAAGUUGGGGAAGUUUUUUCUAACCUCAAGCCUAAUUCCACUUGCUACAAUGAUUAUUUAGACCUCUCUGGACUGCAACCUAAUCAUUUAUGUGGGUGGGAGCCACAAGCAGGAUCAGUAUUUAAAAACCUACAAGGUUUUACUGGAGGCCGGGUACUAGCUAGGACAAACUGACCUCUAAUUAGCCCUUCUUAUACAGUUCCCCCUAAAACAGAAAUUGAAUGUACUUACUUGAGCAUUAUAAAGAGUUAUUUUUAUUUUAGCACUGGUUCUUCCUUGGCCUUCAAAUUUGGAAAUUCAGCAUAGUACAAAAGUGCCAUCUACUGUUCACCUUACUAUAUAGCACUUGGAGUGAACAUAUUUUGAGCCUGUUUACAGGCAAUGGAACUCCCUUGUUGAUACACUUCCUCCAAAGUAUAGGAGAGCACAUGGAAAAGUACAAGAUGGGUUUGAAUCAAUAAUGAAUUACAUUUUUGAAAACUGCAUGAUUCAUUUAAGUUAACAUUCAGUCUCCAAGUCCUAUCAACUACCUCCUCACCAUAUAUAUAUAUAUAAUAUAUAUGAUGGGCUGCCCAGGCUGGCCUUGAACUCCUGAGUUCAAGUGAUCCACCUGCAGCAGCCUCCCAGGUAGCUGGGAUUACAAGCAUGCUCCUCAUCAUAUAUUUUAUCUUCCUAUCUUUCUGUCUAAUGGCUCCUGUCACUCCACAGACCCUGCCUUCUGCCUCCUAGAAUAUUUUAGUAACCACCAACUUGCUUUCUGACUUCAAAACUUCUCCCCUCCACCUGUCCACCCUGCAUUUACCAACAAAUAACAUAAGAUUCACCAGGGUAUCUUGCUAAAAGUAAAUGUUUUUAGGCCUCACCCCAGAGGUUUUGAUUUAGAAGGUCUAGUGUGAAUACUAGAAAUCUGUUUUCAAACAAGCUUUCUAGGUGAUUAUAAUAUGCAUCAACAUUUGGGAACCACUGGCAUAUCAUGCCAUAGAUCUUUAAAAUGCACUUUAAGUUCACUUUUAAAUGCCUCAAACCAAGUCCUAUUUUAUAUCUAACCACUCAUCUCCCCUGGGCCAAUCCUUAAGCCAUUGCAGUUAACCACACACACCCACCCUUUGGAGCCUUUGCUAGAGCGGUUUCUGUACUCAUGAAUGCCUGUGCUACUCUCUUGCUCCAACUUCUACACAAAGAAACAUACCUCAGGACUUGGGAAGAUAUGUUCAUGUAAAAUCAUCUUUCUCUGAACCUAUUCCUCCUUAUAAAAAUAAAACAUUAUUUUUCCUUUGGGUCCUGAUGGUAUGAAACUUAGAGUUCUUUUUAGCACUAUUUUAUGUUGCUGCCUUUACAUCUACAUCAUGUUUAUGUGUCUAUCAGCACUUAACUGUAGUGAAAGGUCAGUAAAGAUAAGAACUGUGUUCUACUCAUUUUAGUAUCACUCUACAGGCACCACAAUCCCUGACACAUAGUAGGGGCAUAAUAAACAUUUUCUGCAUUGAUUGAAAGAUGACAGUGUGGCUGGCCAGCUCUAUAGUUACUGAAAAAGUCUACAAAAUAAAUAGAAAACAUGAUCAUUGUCCUCCAAUAAUUUAAAGUAUCUUGUAAUUUUAUCGAUACACUCUAUUUGUACAUUAUGGGGUACAUGUGAAAUUUUGUUGCAUGCAUAAAAUGUAUAAUGAUCAAGUCAGCGCAUUUAGGGUAUCCAUCACCUAAGGAUUUAUCAUUUCUAUAUGUCAGGUACAUUUCAAAUUUUCUAGCCAUUUUGGUACAGUGCAUUAUUGUUGUGUAUAGUCACCUGAUUCUGCUAUCAAAUAUUAGAACUUAUUUCUUCUAUCUAACUGUAUGAUUGUACCUGUUAACCAACCUGUCUUCAUUUCCCCCUCCCACCCACACAUCCUUCACAUUCUCUGGGAGAAAGAGAAUUAUCAUUCCACUCCUCUCUAUCUCCAUGCGAUCAACUUUUUUAGCUCUCAUAUAUUAAUGAGAACGUGUAAUAUUUAUCUUCCUGUGCCUGACUUAUUUCACUUAACAUAGUGUUCUCCAGUUUUAUUAAUGUUCCUGCAAAUGACAUGAUUUCAUUCUUUUUCAUGGUUGAAUAGUAUUCCAUUGUGUGUGUGUAUAUAUAUAUAUAUGUGUGUGUGUGUGUGUGUGUGUGUAUGUGUGUAUAUAUAUAUACACACACAUAUAUAUAUAUAUAUAUAUAUAUCACAUUUUCUUUAUCCAUUCAUCCAUUGAUGGGGAUGCUUAGGUCAAACAGCUUAAAAUCUAAUUAGGGAAACAGGACUCACCACAUGAAACAAUCAAUGAAAGUUAUGUGGAGCAGUAGGUCAAUCAUAACCAUGGGAAUGUUACAAAAUAUCUGUAUAAUAACCAUAGUAUUGUAUUUCUAUAGUGUCAAAUGUACUUAAGACAUUUGAUUGGUCUUUGGAAAUGUUUUUGUAUCAGGAAAGACUUAUAGGGGAAGAAGGACUUCAAUUGUGAUUUUUUAAAGUGGUAGAAUUAGUGGAUUAAUGAUUGCCAGAGACUAGGGGGAGGAAAGAAUGGGGAGGGAUUACUAAUGAAAAAAUGGAAUCUUUUUAGGGUGAUGAAAAUGUUCUGGAAUUAGUGGUGAUAGGUUUACAACUUCAAAGUACUAAAGACUACUGAUUUUUAUACUUAAAGCCACUAGAUCAAUGGUUCUCAAACCUUAGCGGGGAUCAGAGUCACCCAAAGCACUUGAUAUAAUGCAGAUUCCACUCCAGAGUUUCUGUUUCAGUCUGUCUGGAUUGUGGCACAAGAAUUUACAUUUAUAAUAAGUACAGGUUCCUAGGUAUGAUGCUUAUGCUGACAGUGAACCAUCCUGUAACAAUCAGCAGAGUAAACAAAAAGGUAGUAAGGAGAGAGACAGAAAGUGGAAUGGGCCGGGCGCGGUGGCUCACGCCUGUAAUCCCAGCACUUUGGGAGGCCGAGGUGGGUGAAUCACCCGAGGUCAGGAGUUCGAGACCAGCCUGGCCAACAUGACGAAACCCCAUCUCUACUAAAAAUACAAAUAUUAGCUGGGCGCAGUGGUGGGCACCUGUAAUCCCAGCUACUCGGGAGGCUGAGGCAGGAGAAUUGCUUGAACCCGGGAAGCAGAGGUUGCAGUGAGUGGAGAUCAUGCCAUUGCACUCCCGCCUGGGUGACAGAGCAAGACUCUGUCUCAAAAAAAAAAAAAAAAAAAAAAAAGGAAAGUAGAAUGGUGUUUGCCAUUUGCCAGGGGCUGUGGGGAGAGAGCAUGGGGAAUUAUUGUUUAAUGGGUGCGUGGAGUUUCAGUUUGUGAAACUGAAAAAGUUCUGGAGAUGGACUGUGGUGAUGGUUACAAAACAAUGUGAAUAUAUGUAAUAUAAUUGGACUAUAUACACUUAUAAAUGGUUACAUGGUAAAUGUUAUGUGUAUGUUACUUCAAUGAAGAACAUAGGGGUAAACUGUUGAAAGAAUGCACAUUAGUAAAGGCAUCACAGUCAUGGGAUGAACUUCAGUACAAUGGAAGCCUGGUUCCUUACAGGACUGUACUGGUACGUGGCCCAGGGGUUGGGAAUCCCUGUCCUAGACCACUAUAUUUGCUGUGGCUCUGCCUUCCAGUCAUUUUCUAUCCCAUUAUUGUGUUUUACUUUCUUCAUAGCACUUGCUAGUUCUUCCACCAUGAAUGCUCUUCCCCCAAAUGGAAGGCACUGCAAGAAUUGACAGAUUCUGGCAUUAUUGGAGUAGCAGCAGUAGAAACAUAAAGAGAUAUUUGUUUAGGUAUGGCAUAAUUAAAAUGAACAGGGGAAGGGGGGCCAGGAAAAAAAACCCAGAAACACUUAGAUGCUGUCCUUGGUCCUGAACCAGCAGUACCUGGUGAAUGGCUAUCUUACUUAUCCCAAGAAUCUGGUAACUUCUCUUCUAGGGCUUAGACUUUCAUUUUUACCCUUUUACCAAAAAAAAAAAAAAAAAAAAAAAAAAAAAAAAAAAAAAAAAAAGGGCUGUAGCUUUUAGUGUCUCCAAAAAGUCAAAUCAUGGUAAUAAUUUACAAUUUACCUAGCCAAUUCCAUGUAGUUUGACAGUUGUAAUAGGUUUCUACUUAGAAAAAUUUUUCUGUUCCCACUAGAAAGAAAAGAGGGUACAUUCCCCCAUUCCCUCUCCAUCUCAAUCCUAAGAUUAUGCAUUUGUGAUGUGAAGCAUCACUCAGACCUUCCAAGUGACUGUAGUGAGAGAGAUGAGGGCAAGAUGGAACUGAUGAUGGCUAGCAGGUCUUGGCUAAGAUGUCACUCCUCAAAGAGGCUUCCUAAAGUCCCCAACCUUUAUGGCACCAGGGACCAAUUUCAUGGAAGACAGUUUUUCCAUAGAUAGGGGAAUGAGGGGGAGGGAUGGUUUCAGGAUAAAAGUGUUCCAGCUCAGAUCAUCAGGCAUUAGAUUCUCAUAAGGAACGCACAACCUAGAUCCCUGCAUGUGCAUUUCACAAUAGGGUUCACACUCCUGUGAGAAUGUAACACCUCUGCUGAUCUGACAGGAGAGAGAGCUCAGGCCAUAAUGCUGGCUCUCUCGCCUGCUGUUCACCUCCUGCUCUUCAGCCUGGUUCCUAACAGGCCAUGGACCGGUACCGGGUACAUGGCCCAGGGGUUAGGGAUCCCUGUCCUAGGCCACUCUAUUUGCUGUGGCUCUGCCUUCCAGUCAUUUUCUAUCCCAUUACUGUGUUAUACUUUUUUCACAGCCCUUGCUAGUUCCUCUGCCAUGAAUGCUCUUCUCCCAAAUCUUUUCAAGACUCACUUCUUUCAUUUCACUUAGUUCUUACCACAUUUUCAAAAUAAGCACUUCCUUUCAUUCUCUAUAACAUUACACUUGUAUUUUUCUUCAAACACAUAUCCCUCCCAGGUAAAAAAGGACAAACAAUUUUGAUAGACAUUUCACCAAAAAGUUAUAUAAAUAGCCAGUAAGCAUAUGAAAAGAUGCCCAACAUCAUUAGGCAAUAGGGGAAAUAUAAAUCAACAUCACAAAACCUACUUCAUACCCACUGUGAUAGCUAUAAUCAAAUAGCCUGAUAAUAGUAAGUGUUGGUGAGGAUGUAAAGGAAUGGAAACCCUCAUAAAUUGCUGGUGGGAAUGUAAAAUUGUAUAGCUCUUUACACAGGAAUGGAAUUGCUGAGCCCUAUGGUAAUUCUUUUGACUUCUUGAAUUUGGGAGUUCCUUUAAAAGUUAAACAUAGGGUUACCCUAUCAGCCAGCAAUUCCACUCCUAGGUAGGUACCCUUGAUAAUUGAAUACAUAUGUCCACACAAAAACGCAGACACAAAUGUUCAUAGCAGCAUUACUCACAAUAGCCAAAAGUGGAAACAAUCCAAAUGUCUAUCGACUGAUUAAUGGGUAAAUAAAAUGUGCUGCAUCCAUACACAUUUAUAUGCCUGGCAAAUAAAAGGAAUGAAGUACUGAUUCAUGCUACAGUGUGGAUGAAACUUGAAAACACUAUGCUAAGUAAAGAAGCCAGACACAAUGUAUGGUUCCAUCCAUAUAAAAUGUUCAGAAUAGCCAAAUCCAUAGAGACAGAAUAUGGAUUGUGUGCCAGGGACUGGUUUCUUCUUGGGGUGAUAAAAUAUUCUGGAAUUAUAUAGUGGUGACAGUUCUGCAACUUGAUAAAUGUACUAAUAAACCACUGAUUUUUAUACUUAAAAAUAAUAAGAUUUUUUUUAAAAAAAGCAAGCAUAAACAACCACUUAUCUCUCCCUGAAAUAUACAUUCUCUAUGAGUAAUCCCCAUGAGAAUGAGGGCAAAACCCUCAGAGGGAGUAUGUCAGAAUCACUUGUGGGACCAUCACCAGGAUAUAAACUCCAUGAGGGCAGAGACAUUCUCUUUUUAAUCCACCAUAUAUCAGAACAAUGACUGGCACAUAGUAGGUACCCAAUAAAAUUUUGUGACUUAAUGAGGGAAUAAAAGAGGAAGAGAUAAUAUCUGUGUAAAACAAUUAGAGGAUUUUUUAAAAUCUUAAAAGUCUUCACUGUGUAUUACAAUAGAAUUGUGAUUUUAGUAGAAGGAAACUAGAUUCUUUUAAAGAUUGGUUCUUCUAUCUAAAAAGAAAAUUCCAAAUCUCAACAGUGUCUAACAUAAUAUAAGAAUAUAUUUUAAACUUGGCCACCCUAGGGUUUCUUCUCAAUUAUAAAAACUACUGUAGUUUACUUCAUUUAGUGAUUUUUUUUUUUUUUUUUUGAGACAGAGUCUUGCUCUGUCGUCCAGGCUGGAGUGCAGUGGUGUGAUCUCGGCUCACUGCAACCUCCACCUCCUGGGUUCAAGCUAUUCUCUGCCUCAGCCUCCUGAGUAGCUGGGACUACAGGUGCGCGCCACCAUGCCCAGCUAAUUUUUGUAUUUUUUAGUAGAGAUGGGGUUUCACCAUGAUCACCAGGAUGGUCUUGAUCUCUUGACCUCGUGAUCUGCCCACCUCGGCCUCCCAAAGUGUUGGAAUUACAGGUGUGAGCCACCAUGCCCAGCCCUCCAUUUAGUGAUCUUAUACAGAGCCAUUUUCGUUGUAUUUAUUUUAUUGAGAAAACAGCUUUUAUUCUAUAACCUUGUAACCUUGCUCACUAAUUGGUGGCCCACUGACUGAAACAAGUCCACUGAUAUGUUUUGUUUGGUCAUUAAUGUGUUCAAACAUUCUUUAAAAUUUAAACUCCUAUAGGUGAGCCAAAUAUUCAAUUUGACUCAGUACACUUCCUUGUGUUAUUUUUGUACAUGGUCUGAUUCACAGGCAUAAAUGAUCUCCCUGGCCCUUUGUAUCAGUCACGAAGGUCUAAGUUUUGCUGCUGAAACAACCCCCAAAUCUCAGUGGCUUAAAAUAAGGAAGUCUUCUAUUUUCUGCUCGCAUUAUGUUGCCAUCAGAAGUCAACUAAGGGCUCAACUCUCAGGUCCUUGUUAUCCUCACUUCAGGACAUAGGCUGUCAGCGAAGCCACUGUCAGAAACAUUAUUGGUGACUGGCAGCUGGAAAAGAGCAGAUGAUGCCCACGAUGGCUUUCUAAGAUUUCCUUGACCAAGGAAAGUCACAUAUCUGGUAGAGACAUAUAAUUCUUCCCCAUGAAGAAAGUUGUGGAAAGUUAUACAGUCUAACACUUGGAGGAAUUUGGAUUGAAUAUUGAAUGCAGUUCAAUAUCAAGACCUUUUCUACAUGAAAAUCAAGAAAUGUUUGUCAGUUUUUCAAGCAUUUGUAUUCCCCAACACACGUGAAGGUUAAUGCACUCAGAGCUUUGAUUCUCAGUUGAGGCCACACACCCCUGGAUGAGGUGAGUGAUGGGUCAUAAUCUUUAUUUUGUUUUGGGGACAGAGAUUGAAGGCAGAAAACAUAGGCUUGAGUUUUAUUUUUUAUUUAUUUUUAUUUUUAAACUAUUUUAGAAAUGGAGUCUUACUAUGUUGGCCAGGCUGGAGUGCAGUGUCUAUCCACAGGUGCUCUCAUAGCACAUUGUAGCCUUGAACUUCUGGGCUCAAGUGAUCCCCCUACUUCAGCCUCUGGUGUAGCUGGGACUACAGACAUGAACCACCAUGCCUGGCUUGAGAUUUUAUUUUAUUUUUAAAUAAAGGCCCCACAGGUGAUUCUGGCAUAUUGCUCCAAGAUGUUGUGUCCUCAUUCCCACAAGGAUUACUGAUUUAGAGGCUCACAGCUUUCUGAGAAUGCCAGAUUCAGAUAAAUAACUAAAGAUCAGAAUGAAAACAUUACAACCCAGACAUCAAUGAUCAAUAAAGGAUUCAGCUAUGCUGUUAGUGAAAAAGUUAAGUACUAGCACAUUUUCAAGUUAAGAUGAAUAAGUAAUUGGGAAAAGAGAGGAGACUGGAAAUUUCCAUUAAUUUCCAUAAAAUAAGUGACAUUCAUUUUAGAAGUUAGCACCGCAGAGGUAAUGUAGAUAUUAUUACCAUCUCCUCCCUGACAGAUAGUGUUUAUUACAAGUUAGAGCUAUAUCCCUCCAUCUCCUGACCUUCCUAAGGUUUAGGUAAACACUCUUAUCAAAAGAGGGAGAAGGAACACAGGUCAGAGGGCGGUGUCGUGGUGUCUUUGCUUCUCCAGCCUCACAGACCUAGUCUGAAUCUCAUGGAGAGAAAGGACUCAGGAAGCAGCAGAAGUAGCAGGUUUUUAAAUUGAGUCUGGUGAGACAGUUGGGCACAGGCUGCUAUGCUUGUGUAACCUGGAGGCAAAGUAGGAAACAGAUUGGCAGAGGAGUCAUCCUUCUUCCAGGACUGCAUAGACCAGAGCAUGGUGUGAACACAGUGAGGACCACAAAGACUUUGCCUUGCUGGAUUGUAGUGAAUUACCCAAUUCAACAGAGUAAUUUAAAUGAAUGAUUCUCAACCAGGGACAAGUUUUCCCACAUGGGACAUUUGGCAAUGUCUAGAGACACUUAUGGUUAUCACAAGUAAGAGUGUAGGUGCUACUGGCAUCUGGUGGAUGGAGAUCAGGGAUGCUGCUAAACAUCCUACGAUGCACAGAACAGCCUUCAAAACAAAGAGCCAACCCCAAAUGUCAAUAAUACUGAUAUAAGAGGCCCAUAUUUAAAUGAAAGCACUUAGUACAGUGCCUGGCAUUUGUUAAAUGCUUAAUAAAUGUUGAUUCACCAUGGGUUGAUCUCCUGGUGUCCAUAAGGUUUUAAAUAAUUGUCAAUACCCUAAAAUUAACCAUAUAUAGUAUACCCAGAUUUCUCCAUUACAAGAUGUACUUUUUCAAAAUCACUUUUUAAAUUUCUUGAAUUGGCGUGAGAUGUAAUAAUUGAUAUAUUUUCCCCUAAGAAGCUGUUAUCAAAUCUCAAAUCAUGGUGCAUGUCAGUUGAUGGCAUCUUAAAGUCCUGAAAAAGGGCCAGGAGCUGUGGCUCAUAUCUGGAAUCCCAGCACUUUGGGAAGCUGAGGCAGGCAGAUCACUUGAGGCCAGGAAUUCAAGACCAGGCUGGUCGACAUGGCAAAACCCCAUCUCUACUAAAAAUACAAAAAAUUAAUCAGGUGUGGUGGCAUGCACCUGUAGUCGCAGCUAUUCGGGAGGCUGAGGCAUGAGAAUCAAUUGAACCCAGGAGGUGGAGGUUGCAGUGAGCCGAGAUGGCGAGAUGGUGCCACUGCACUCCAGCUUAGUUGACAGAUGAGAUUCUGUCUAAAAAAACAAAAACAAAAACAAAAAAAAGCCUCUUGAAAAAGCUAUGCUUCUAGGCUUCUAUUACCUUUAUUAGAAGAGGCAUUUUCAAAAUACUACCUGGGAAUGUGACGAAGUAACCUAUUCGUAUAUUAGCUGACUUGUUAUCACCAGUUACAUAAUUUUAAUCGACUGUUCUGCUGCUGACUAAUACUGCUGUCAAAUUCUGCACAUAUUAAUCUUUCUCUGUGAUGAAUAUUCAGAACAAAAGAAAAUAAAAAACAUUAACUUUGGUAGAAAUCCUAGAGAGCAAGCGUUUCUCCUUCCUUUUAGAGAUGAGAAAUCAAAGGUUCAUGAAGGCGUAUUAACUGGCUCAACUGUAUUCAGCUAGUCAGCAGUAAAGCCACGCCUAUUAAGUCAAGGGUCCAGAAUUCCAGCUCAGAUCUGCUCCUCAGAUAAUUGCAAAUGUGUACUCUUUAUUCAAGUUGCGCUCAGCAAGAGGUUGUUACUCUUUAUUCAUCUAUGUGACUAGUGAUAUUUUCUAUGGAAUAUGAUUUUGGUCUUCAGGCUAUGUUUAUAUAAUCAUUCCAUCAAUGUUAUUGAACAUCUUACUAUGGGCCAGGUAGUAUGUUAGGUAUUGUACUUAUAAAAAUAAGUAAAAAUGACUACAAGGGUAAAAAGCUCACUUACCUUCUAAGCCCAAGUGGAUAACAAAACUGGUUGAGGUAGGGUUGCCAGAUACAAUAUAGGGUGCUUUAACUGAAUUGCAUGAGUUGCAUUGGACCUACUUACACUAAAAAGUAAAAAUAAAAUAGUUGUUUAUCUUUUCUGCACAUUUAAACAGGCUUCUUGCAUUCAUAUUUGCUAAAUGCAGCAACCCUAACUAGCUGGGAACUGGGGAGAGCUAGAAAGUACAUGCUUUAUCUAAAGGGAGCAGCUACUACCUCCCCUCCCCAACCCCUCUCAGGAAUCAUUGCCACAAGGCAUGCAACCCCAGUGAACUCAUUGAAAUUAUCAUGAUAUGCUGGAAAUCCAGAACUCUAGCUAAAAGCUCCCUAAUAUUAAAAGUUGUAAACUGAUUUGAAAAAAAUUUAAAGACUAUGUGGGCCAAAGGAAAAAAAAGAAAAUAAUGUCUGUGGAUUUUGAUGGUGUUUAAGCAACCUCCAAAAUAAGACUUCUCUUUCUCACCCGAAUGUGGAACCAGUUAAGCCACACAGGUUUCAGGCAGAUUAAGGUCAAAAUGUCAGCUUCGAUACUGAUGAUGUAACCAUAAAGGAUUUGGCUUAAGUGUACAACCAAAUAGGCUUGCUAGAAAGCUCCCGAAUUGAACUAACCAUCCUCCCCACAAAUCAAGCCCUUCACCCCAGCAAGGCAGAGCUAACCCUCCAGUCAAGAUAGUAAACUACAAUAUUCCCCUCCUUGCAGAUAACACAAGUGUGAAGAGAGGGGAGAGCAGCAAAGGCUGAGCUGCGUGUGCCUGGUCCCUUCCAGACUUUCCAGAUAACUUUGCCCCACGGAGGACAAGGAAAGCCAAAAGAGAGAAGCCAGGAUUGUUAGUCUUGGAAAAUGCCUCCAUAUAGAAACAUGAGCCGGAGAAUAAAUCACUUGCCUCUCUAACCAGUUGGAUUUGGUCCGUGAGUUCCUAGUUUUGUUCACCUGACUUAGUCCCUGACUUUUAAAGUCAAGUGCAUCAACAUGCUGCCAGUACUUUGAUGAACAUCUAUACAGGAUCCAUCUCUACAGCAGUGAAUUCCACCUGGGGUAAAGUAUGCAUGUAGGUUAGGAUGCUACAGUGGGACUCUGUCUGCUUUUUCUGUCUGUUUCUGCUAAGGCCUCCACACAUUAGAUGGUCAGUACUCUUUGUUCUAUGGGAAGGGCUAGAAUACCUAAACAGGACUUUCACGGAGGGAGCAACAAACCAGUUUUGUGGCUCUCAGCAAACAUCCAUCUCAAAGGUGAGUUUGGAAAUAAUGGAGAGUAUGUCAGUGUGUUUGUGUCUCAGGCCUACUUCCCACGCCUAUGGGGGAAGGGUGGGACUUAUCUCUCUCUUCCCUCAAGCCUGCUAAGAGGAGAUUAGACUAUAUUUGAGAUAAAUACCUCCAGCACAGUGACAGCCAUGCAGCUCAUGCCUGUGAAAUCAAAAGGCAAGAGGAUGCGGCUGGCUGGCUGCUCUGAGGGCAGAGAGAAAAGACCAGACAGCUCUUGGAACAGACUGUUCUUCCAGUGACGAUGGGGACAAAGAUGCAUGAGUGUAUCUCCAGGACUGGAUGUGAGCUGCAUGGGAGAAAAAGAGUGCAGGCCUGCAGCCCGGGAAAACCCAAAAGGAUGCCAUAAACCCAACAGGAAGAUGGGUUGUCAGGGCCCCAGGAGCUGAGAAAGGAAUAAAAAUGACAGAGAGAGAAAAGUACAUUGUCCACAUCAUAAAUAACACAGCUGAAUGUGCCCAAUGAGGUCCUCAGAGAACCCACAGAAGUGCCCAUGGGAACAGUUCUCUCUGGGACUCAAACCCAGGGAGAGGUGCUUUUAAACAUGCAAAGAGAGGGAACCAUCAUCAUAUUACAUUGCAGUGUCCACAUGAAUAAGACCCUAACUUACCUCAUAUUUCUCCUCCUUCCUCUGCUUUAAUCCAGGAGGAGCCAGAGACCUCUCAGUAAGUGAAGAAGAGGGGAAAUAGGUAAAAAGCCACUAUUCCCCAUGUUAGAUGAGGAAAUAGGAACAUUCUCCUCCUCUACCCAACACCCACUGUAGCUUUUAGUGGCUGGAGUCAGGAGAGAAAAGUUUUCAUGUUAAAUGAAUUUCAGAGGUUUGACUAUGACAUAGAAAUGGAUAUUUUAAUUACUGAAAUAAAACUGUUUUGUAAUUAGAGGUGACUGGAAGACAUUUUAUCCUCAGCAGAAGAAUAGAUAAGGAUAGGACCUUCCCUCCCCCUUGGACCCCACCAAGGUUUUAUCCAGAGGCAGAGGAAGAAGUAACCCUUUAUGUGAGUUUGAAUGGGCAGAAGAAGAAAAGGAUGAAGUUGUCUUCUAAUUGCACUCUAUGAAUGUUGCUUUUUUGUUAACAUAAAUGUCACAUAUAUUUUUAGCUGGUGUAACAAAAAAAAAAACAUCUCAAGCCGGCUUGCAUAAUAACAGCUUUGGGCACAGUCUGAUCAAGGCCCCGGUUCUGUUUGCUAGUGAUCCUCCUGAUUCUGCCCUCUCUCCAUGCUAGUUUCUUCCUCAGAUUGACAUUCCUCUUGGUCACCAGAUGCCUACAAUCAGCGGGUGCAACUCUCUGCUCCCUGCUCACUUCUGAAGGGGAGAGCAUGGAUACCAACCACAGAACAAAGCCCUGCAGUCUCCCGCUGAGUAGAACACCCACGAAGAAGUGUUGGCCAUUUCCCUAUUGCCAGGGAAAUAUCAUGUAUUGGUUGGAUUAGGCCUGUAUUAAUCCAGUUAAUGGAACAUAGUUAAACUAUCCCAGACCCUCCAUAGACACUAGAGAAAAGGUGAAUCCAACCCAAAUGUAAGACUGCUACUCAAUAGGACAGAAAAGGCAUGGAUGUCAGUGAAAUGGGAAAAAAAAUGUGUGCCAAAGGAGAUCAGGAAGGACUGAAUAGAAGACAUGGCCUUUGAAUUGAAGCCUUUAAUGAGGAAAGGGGAUUGACAUUGUAUGAGGGCCAGGGUGGAGAGCGGGUUGUGAAGAGGAUAGGGAAAAUGCAAGGACACUGCGGAUAUAAGAAUUAAUGGGAGAAUCAUGGGCCACAAAGCAGCAGGAUUAUAUUACAGAGAUUGUAAGUAGUGUUUAUUGAAGCACAGGGUACUGGGGAGGUGGAGGAAAGAUGAAACUGUUAAGGAAUUUAGACACAGCAUGUAGUGGUUGGCAGGAAACAGAUGACACUCUCAAACAGGGUAGUUGAGGAGAGCUAAUAAAGGGACCAUUUACCAAGGUGUAGUUAGGAUUAAGAGAAAGCAAACUGGGAUGGUGCUGUGCUAUGGGCUAGCAACAGCAGGAAGUCAUUUCUGUCCCUAGGUCUGAAGAGGGAAGCAGGGGAGCCAACACCAAGGAACCAGAGAUCUUAGAGUCUGAAAGUCUGCAUGAUAGAAGCCAUGGCCUUUAGUAGAGGGAUCUUGCCUACUCUUAGCAGCCUGGCUUGGAGGGGCCUGGGGAAAUAAUACCCCAACCUCUCUCCUCUUCUUCAAUAUUGAUGACUUCCAUUGGUUAAUAUCAAACUGGAAGUUGGAGAGAAAGGGAGUCUAUCUAUACAAGUCAGCACCCUGUAGCCCAGAAGAGAGUAAAAAGGGGGUAAAAAGCAAUUUCCGAGGGACAAACAGAAAACACCCAGCACAGAAGGAGGAACAAACAUUUGGAGGAACAAACAGAAAAUAUCAGAAAACAUUUUAAUCCUGGGUCCUGGGACGUCAUGGAAGGUUUUGAAGUUAGGAGCACCGCCAUCCUCUAGGGGGAGCUCAAGCAUUUCUCUCCACUCAUCCCAAAGGCGGUGCAUCAAAAGAUCAGGGUGAAACUGACUUCAAGGAAAGAGCCCUCGGCUAGAGGAAGAAGCCUGGAGAAGUAAAGGGAUUGCUCCUGGAAUUGGAAAUCUACCCUUUGCACUUCUAUUUACUGCAUUUGGAUUGAUUUGCAAGAAUAACCAUUAAAAUAAUCAAAGCUAAAAGUAAGUAUGUACUGUGUGCCAAGUUCUUGACUCAUUUGGCACAACUCUUCGGAGGUAAGCACCAUUGAAAUUCUCACCUUCUAGAUUAAGAGGCUGAUAGAACCUGGAUUUGAGCCCAUUGACAAAGGACCACUCUCUGCUCUGUUCUGUUCUCAUGCUGCUGGUUUAGUCAGCUGAGUCAAAGGUUGCCUUUGCUUAGAAGGCCUAACAAAACCAGAGCAGGGUCCAUGGAAAAGGAGACAUGAAAAGGGACAUAUUUCCUGGUAAGAUUUGUAUUCAUUUAACAAUUUUAAGCACAUAUUUAAUAACCAGGCACUCACUACCUGACAAGCUCUGAGCCAGGUGCAGGGUAUCCGAGGGAACUAGGAGAGAGGCACUAAGUGCUGUACUAAGAACCUGAAUGAGUGCAUUUGAGUCCUGGGUCUGCUACAUGUGUGACCUAGGAAAAGUCACUUAAAUCAUUUAACUGUCUCCUCAUCUUUAACAUAUAGAUGGUUAAAAAGUACACAGCACUUGGAAUAAUAAACGGGCAGAUUGUUAAUGUUGAAGGUGUGAGCUGCUGUUCUUACAACACAAUGUCAGCCCUUGAAGCUCUUACAGUAGAUGGAAAGAUGGAGAUGAGUAGGAUCUAAUUAUUGGCCAAGUGCAAAGGAGCUAAAAAGGCCACCCACGCUGCUACUUACUUCAGCAAUACCCAAGGAAACAAGGGCAAAAAAAGAGCUCUAGAGGCUCUUCUUGGUCUAGCCCUGCUUUUGAGUUUGGGGCCAAAGCUCUAAUUCACUCUAAUUCAGGGGUGUUAGCAAGGUUCUUGUCUGGCAUUCUAGCUCUGAACAGUUGAUACCAGCUUCCUGAACCAUGUGUUAAGAGAGAUCUCAGACUGCAUGUAGAGAACGUAUGCCUUGAGAGAUAAGUGAUGUCUGCCAUUGAUUGAGGGUGGAGAGGAGGAGCCAAGUGGUUCUAGAACAGUGUCCUUUUGCCUAGAAUGUCCCUACAGCAGGAGCAGCUGGGCAAGACUCAGAAGUCCUGAUUAUAAUCACAGAUUAAGGUGACCAACUAUCCCAGUUUGCCUAGGACUGUUCCAGUUUUAGAACUGAAAUUCCUGCAACCCAGAAAACCUCUCAAUCUUGGGCACAUCCCAAUCAGCUUUGCAGGCUUUCUCUAUCUGACAAUACCAAAAAAAAACAACAACUAUGAGCUCUGACUAGAAGAGAUUACUCUUUUUGUCUUGGCCAAUUUCAGCCUGUGAAAAUGCAUCUUAUUCUGGCCUGUAUGUGCCAGCCAUAUGCCCUCAAAUGUUCCCCCACUUCACAAUAGCUGACCUCCAUACCUCUCUCCUUUCUCAGCUAUUUUUCCUGCUGUAUCCACUGACGCCUUAGUAGGAAACAGAUGGCACCAUCAAAGGGUUUAGCUGAAGAGAAUUUCAUACAGGGAUUAUUUACAGAGGCGUGGGCAGGGUUAAUGGAACCAACAAGAGCUGGGGAGACAGUCAGGGAUUAGCUCUUACCACAGGAGGUCUGCAGGGACAAAGGGAGGGGAUGCUGUUACCAGCCUGGUAAGAGCUGAAACUGUGCAGGAGAGGUCACUGGGCCUGGGAGCUGGAGCCUCUGUCUCAUCUGCGGUGUGGCAGAGAGGAAAGAGGAGGAGGGCAUAAAAAUCCCUGGCCCGGCUCUCCUCCUGCCCUCUGGCCUCUUGCCAGUAGUUUCUUGCCAGAGUGCAAGGAAAAGCAAAUGAAACAACAGGUCUAGUAGAGGGCAGCCUCCCAGGCCGCAGAGCGUGACAGGAAAAGGCAGAGAACAGAUCUAAGAAUAACCAUCCCAGGCCACCCUAUUGUCACUCAGCUUCCAUUCUAACACUUUACUUAGCCAAAGAAACUCAGGUCCUCAACACAGGGAAAACAUAGUCUCAUCAGCUACUGUAUCACUGAGUGAUGAUGUAUUUCAGUCAUAUUACUUCCUGGACCCUAAACUGUAACUUUAGUCACCACCAGGAUGCAAGGCAGCAAAGAAAGGUAAAAAAAUAAAUAACUAUCAUACUACAGCUCCACAUCUAAGCAUUUCUAAUCUAAUAAUCCUGACUUCCUCCUCCCAGCACUCGUUCCAUAAUUCUUUACCCUCACCUAGCAUCUUGACAGUUAAGGUGUCUUACUUGAUGGGGUGAGCCAAACCUUCCUUGCCACAGGAUCCGGGUGGUUCCAUCUUUGUUGAGUUGCUGCCGUUUCUCAUUGGCCAUUACUACUGGACAUGGGAGUGCAAUGAAUCCCAUGGGCUCUAGAUACAGUGUUGUUUCCAUGUGAUAGCAAAAAUCCCAAUUUCUCCUUGAUAAUCAAAAUUAAUCAUACCAGUCCAUACAAACAGCCAAUGCUCUGCCUUUGAUCAGUGUUGUGAACAACCUGAAAUGUUGAAGGGGCAUUCUCAGUGUUUCCUAGUAGAAAUAUAUCUCCCCCUUGGGCACAAGAACCUCACGCCCAUUAGAUGCAAUGUUUUAGGGACAAGAAGACAGUAUUAUUGAAGUGGGUUAUUACUCAUCCUGAGUUCCCAGAGCCAUGUAUUCAACACCAUGUAUCAACCACUGAUCUGACCACUUAUAGGACAGCACCCCAACUUCACAAGAUGUUGUCUCCCAGCAGGCUCCAUAAAUGAGCCUUCGAUAGGACAUUUCAUCAUUCCAUCAAUCUAGCUGCUUCCAGGUAAGAACAAUGAAUUCUACGAUGUGAGCGUAAUACCACAGCUGUUUCACUGUAAAUGAGUUCCUUGAUCAGUGACAAUGCUGUGUGUGACACCAUGGGGAUGAAUAAGGCAGCCUAUCAACCACAUAUGGUAGUGCUGGCGGAAGCAACAUGCACAGGAAAGGGAAGUUACUCUCCAGUAUAUGUAAUUAUUCCCAUGAAGACAAAUUCCUGCCCCUUCCAUAAUGUAGUGGUCUGAUAUUAUCAACCUGGGUGGCUGAUACUUCCAAGAAAUAGUGCCAAAUAAGGGUUCAGUGUUGCCUUCCGUUUUAGAAAUCUGGGCACUCAGCAGUGACAGUGGCAGAUCAGCUGUGAUGUGAGGAAGUCCAUGUUUAUUUAUUUCAUUGCCUCUGUUCCUAUUCCCAUGGCCACUUUGUACAUGAGACAUUUACCCAAGCACAAACAUGGCCAGUGUCUUAGCAUGCUCAACUGCUUUAACAAAACGCCGUAAACUGGGUUGUUUAUAAACAGCAGAAAUUUAUUUCUCACAAUUUUGGAGGCUGGGAAGUUCAAGAUCAAGGUUCUAGCAGACUCUGCGUCUGGUGAGAGCCUAUUUCCUGGUUCACAGAGGGCCACCUUCUGUGUCUUCAUAUGGUGGAAAGGGCUAUGCAGCUCUCUGGGAUUUCUUUUAUAAGGGCACUAAUCCCAUUCAUAAGGGCACUUAACUUCCCUGGGGACUUAACCUCCCAGUGGCCUCACUUCCUAAUACCAUUCACAUUGGUGAUUAGGUUUCCACAUAUGAGUUUUGAAGGGACACAAAUAUUUAGACCAUAGCAGCCAGGGAAGGAGGCUCACUACAACCAAGGGAUAGGUCAUCUUGGCCACCUCCUCAUUUAGCUUUCUGUGAGGUAGAUGUCCUCUGGGGGAACAUUUAUAUGCUAUUCAAAUAGCCUCAAAGACUAGCCAUUUUUAGAGGUCCAUUAUAUAACUUCCCUUUAGGUGAUCUUGGCACCAACCUUCCAGGUCCCUGAUAAUUUGACCAACCCAUUAGCCCCUGCCUGUGUAUUUCAGGAAACCUCAGCUUAUCCCUUCUUUCAUGUCAGUGGCCAACCAGAUGUACUUCCUGAAGUUCUGUCUAUGGGAAGAUUUUCCUAUGGCUUGCAGAGCCACCCCAGACAGAUAAUUCUUAAACCAGACCAGGCCACUGUCACCCUCUUUUCUCAUCAAAGGGUCAUAGGGAAUACCCGGGGAGACCAGAGGUACGGUUUGAGGGAAAGGCGGGAAGCAGUAAGAAGUCUGACUCAUCAGCUUUUGCAGAGAAGAGAAGUGCUGAGAAUAGAUCUGAGGGUGUGAGGGGAUAAAGAAUAACAGCUCACCCACGUCUGUGCAGUUCUUUACCCUAAAGUUUAAGUGAAAUGAUUCUUCAUCAAGCUUCUUCUCACUUGAUUUAAGAAAAUCCUUAGAGAUAUAACAGCAUCAAUAUUGCAAACCAAUAAGGAAACAAAGCAAUAGCUUAGCCCUUGACAUAUAUUUCUGAUAAGUAAUGUAUUUCAUGGUCUUUCCUAAAUGUACAUGAGGUAGAAGUAGAUAUAUCCAAUGUCUAUACUUAAUUGAUUUUUGCCAGAAAGUCUAUCUUGAAAUGUGAGCUUCUGAUAAAUUCCUUCUAUUUGUGCUUUUUUAGAACAAGUUCCAUUUUUAUGUUGUCUUUGUCAGUGACGGAGGAAAUCAGAUCAAUUUUUUAAAGUCAGUUUUUUAUAUAAGCAUUACUGAAACUAUUGAAAUCUGAAUAUGGUGUUUUUAAAAUAAACUGUGUUAAACUAAUUUGUAAUAUCAGAAGUCAGGAAGGGAAGCAUGAGGGGGCAUCUAGGGGCUGGUAAUGUUGUGUUUCCUCCUGUGGGUAUUGGUUACCUGAGUUAAUUUUUUUUUGUGAAAUUACAACAAGCUGUGCACUUAUGAAAGUUGUACUUUUCUAUACAUGUAUUCUUAUUCAAUAAAAAGAAAAAAAUGAAAGGUGCUCCAUAUAAUGAUGACCUUUUGGCAAACAUUUCCAUGAAAUAGAAACUAGAUGAAAAAAUUUUAUGAAAUGCUGCGUAAUUAGUGGAUUCUUCUGGCUAAACAGCCCAUCAAAAACACUUACUAAAGACCUAGAAUUAUUAAAGACCUAAGAAUGCAAUGACUUGCAUUAGAUAUAGCUGAUAGGCCAGUGAGAAGGACAACAUAUCACAGAUUAAUCAAUUCAUUCACAAAACGAAAACACUGAACACUUACUAUGUGUCAGACACUAGUCUAUAUGCUUGAGGUUCCAUGAGUAAGUAAAUCAUUCCAUGUCCUUGUGGAACUGAUGCCUAGUGAGGGGAGACAGCCAGCCAAUUAACAAUAAACAAUGAGUAAAUUACAUGAUAUGUUAGAUUGAUAAGGGAUGCUUAAGAAAAAGAGCAGAGUGAGUAAGCAUUGUGGGGAAGUUUGCAGUUUUAAAUAGGCUGUUCAGAUCGGCAUCACUAAGAAGGUGAUAUUUAUGCAAAGGUAUAAAGGAGAAGAUAUUGGCCAUAUGGGUAGCUGGGGAAGAGAAUCCAGGCAGAGGGAAUAGUGAGGCAGGAGAGAACCUGACAAGUUCAAGGCAAAAAAGCCAGUGUGAUUAAGACAAAGUGAGAAAAAAGAAAAGGAGUUGAUGUGAGGCCCGGGAAUCAAUGUGGGGAAGGAGAAUUCCAGGCUGCUGCAAGAUUUCCAUUUUCACUUUCAAUGAAAUGGGGCACCAUUGCAGGAAUUGGGCCAGAGAGUGGCAUAAGCUGACAAAUUUUGAAAGUAUCUUGCAGCUGUUUUGAGUAGAGGCUGAAGAGGAGAAAUAAUCCAGGUGAAAAAUGAUGGUAGCUUGGACUAGACUGAUAGCAGUGGACAUGUAAAUAAUGGUCAGAGUUUGAGUAUAUUUUGAACAUUGACCCAACAGGAUUUGUUGAAGGACUGGAUACGAGAUUUGAGGAAAGAGAAAAGUCACAUUUGAUUUUGAGGUCUUGAUCCUGAACAAGGAUGAAGCUGUCAUUGACUCAGCUUCAGAUCAGGGAGACUGUGGGCAUAGGAGGAUUGGAGAGGAAGAUUAGAAAUUCAGUGUUGGGCACAUUAGGUUUGAAAUGUGUAUCAGACAGUCUAAUAGAGAGGACAAGUAGGGAGUUAAGUAGAAGAGUUUAGAGUUUAGGAUGAAUGUAUGAAUACAAAUGUAAAUUUCACAUUAAUAGCCAUAGAGAUUAUAUUUAUAAGACUAGAUAAUAUAACACAGAAGAGAGUACAUAAUAGAGACAAGAACCAAAGACUAAGGCCUGGAGCACUACCAGAGAAGCACCCAAUAAUAUAGAAAGAAAGAACAGCCAGUUCCAUCCCAGAGUAUUUCAAGUCUGCAACAGGACUAGUUGACUUAACACCACUUGCCACUGUAAUAAUUACUUCCCAGGAAAAUAAGUCCAAGGAUAUUUUUCCAGUUUCUAUGCCAAGCCAUGAUAAUGAUUAAUUGCACAGUACCUGGCACAUGGUAAGAGCUUCCUAAUUAUUACAAGUUGUUGAAUGAAUUAUUUCAGGGCUCUGGGAAUAAGCCAAAAUCUCUUGAGACUUGAGCCUUUAUUAGAGAGACCUGAUAUAUGAGACACAUUUAGGGCCUUUCCCUUUUGGGCUCUCCAGGAAUAUUGAGGACCAGAUAUAUCAAGGUGAUCCAACCUGAAACUAAACUGGAAGCCAGCAGGCUGCUCCAUGCAAAUCAUCUGUGUUUCCUUCCUAAUCAAUUCUAUCUGUUGUUUUUUUUUUUUUUCCUUGAACAUCUAUCCUUCUGCCUCAGAGCCUUUGGACUUGCUGUUCUCUUAGUCUGGAUCAUCUACUCCUUUGAAUAGCUCAUUGUCUCUCUUUACUGAAGUUUCAGUUUAAAUUCACCUCUUCAGAGAAGCCUACGACUACUGUUGAUCACUAGUGAUCAUUGUUUGGCCUCAGCCUACACUAGUCUCUUCCACUUAUCUUUCUCUUUAUACCACUUACUACUGCCUGCCAUGGUAUUAUAUUUAUUUGGUUGGUUGGUUAUCCUCUGAUUCUCCCACUAAAAGGCAGUCUCCCUGAGACAGGGAUUUAUUUUGUUCUUCUUCCAUCCGCAAUAUGUAGAUCUAGAACAAAGCCUCGCCACUAGCAGGAAACUUGAUAAAUGUUGGUUUAUGAAUGAAUCCACUCUCUCAGAUCUGUUCCAGAUACCACUGGACCAGUUAAAAAUUAUAUGGAUUUCCCACCAUGUGGAAAGAUUAUUAUUCAGCAUAAGUAAAAGUGAAGAACACGUGAUCCCAAACCCACAAAAGCCUGCAAUCCGGUUGCUCUAGGUUAGACUGUUAGGCUGAUAGCAGUUUACUUCCCAUAAUUCUAUUUCCUGCCAGGCUCCCGAGAGGAGAGACAGUGCUUUGGGUGAAGAACAACACUCAUUUUAGCAGAGGUUCCAUGGUGUUUUCCAUGAGAGUCAUCUCUGGGCAAACAAUGUAAGCUUCAAAGUAAAUUUAGUUUCUCAUCUGGGAUGAAUAACUUGUAAUUGUGUCUUAUAAAUUGUACCCAGCAAUCCUUUUCUCACCCCUAGCCCUUGAAGAUUGGAGGAAAUGGUGUUUCUGACUACACCAGUAACAGGAUGGGAGCUUAUUUUAAAGACACUUGUAGGAAAGGCUUUGGAGAAAAACUAGCUUAUCGGGAGACUCCUAAUUCAGGAUCUUAUAUCCUUGAUUAAACUCUGACUUUUACAAUUUCCCAAAGUACACACACACACACACGCACACCAGAAUUAACUGAUUCAGAAUGAAACCAGCUAACACAGUGGCGCAUUGUGUAGAGGUUGAUCUCUAUUGUGACCUAACUCCAUGGACUACAUGGAGUUAUAAGAACCAAAACUAGGUAUUUGUGUGACCAAAAGAUAAGGAAAUUAAGAAUACCUAAGGCUAUUAAAGGAAAAAAAAUAAGAAGGUAAGCAAUAAGAAAAGCUUUCAGAGUCUCACAGCUCAGUCCUCUGUUAGGAGGUAAAAGUUUUAUUUCUGUCUCAAGCGUAGGCUUAGGCAAACCCAAGUCUUGCUCUUUGUGGUGGGCUUAUGAGCAGGGUGAAUGGAAAAAGGGAAAUUCCUGGCAAGCUCUGGCUUGGAGAUGGUACAAAAAAACCUCAGUAAGUAUAGUGUAUUUCCUUCUUUCCUGAAUCCAUACUAACUUGCCCAGUAAAACUUUCUUUAGUCCUUUACUGAUUCCAAGACUUAUUUUAAUUUUUGCCUUUCAAUUCUUAUUUCCUUUCCCACAGAUGGUACUGGCUAAAACAGAAGCCUGUAAAAGUAAAGCUUAAAAGACGUUCUUUCCUUUUUUUGGCUUUAAAAUGUUUCACAUGACUACAUGAUAGUCCCACCUCAUCCACCCACACUUACAUUUUUCCUCUUCCUAGCAUUAAUAGGUCUAAACAUGCAGUUAGGCAGGAAAUUUAGAAUAAGAAACUUUAUUAUUUUCUUGCCUCUUAGAGGAGUUUUCAAAAAAAUAUUGGAGGGGUUCUGAUUCCAGGUACAACGGAGUAAGUGUACUCACACCACCCUGUUCCUCCCACUGAAUGCGGCUAAAAAACCUGGGCAGAAUAAGUGGAGCAUCUGAGGACUCUGAAAAGUAAAUAAUAGCAGGCAGAUUGGAGAUGAAGACCAAAAUGCAAACCUUUCAUUGGAGAACAGUCUUCCCCCACACCAUCCCAUAGAAAUACUGUUCACUAUAUCUGGUUCAGGAGGACUGACUCUCCCAACUCCUUUCUCCAGGAGUGGAUACAUGAUCCAGGACUGGCCAGAAUUCUACAUCAAGCCCGUAGGCACGGAGGAGAAUACAAAUUAGAGGAUCAGCCAGCAAACUUGAUGGGUGAUGAGAACUGUUCAAGACAACCCUGAAGAUGUUGCUUAUUUGAUAAGGUUGCUGGUGCUGCUGCUACUGAAGAUAGAACAACAGUUAAGCUUUCUGUGUAUGUGUGUGUUUUCCAUCUGUUUUUCUUUGUAAUCAGUCGGUAUAAAAGUGAGCAGUGAAGAAUCGGGGGGAAAUAAAUGUACUUUUUAAACAUGUUAAAUUUGGAAAAUAUCUAGAGCUCAGAAGAAAAGUGUAAACUUAAGUUAGAGAUUUGAGAGUUAGUGAAGCUCUAAGAGGGGCAGAGUGUAAAGGUGAGGGCAACAAGUAUAUGUGCACACACAAUCACACACAUACACCGGUGGCAGGCAAAGAAAGAUUAAAUCCCUUCUUAGCAAAACUUCAAUUCUGAGAAGAUUUUUCCUAUCUGAAUUUGUUGAACAAUAUUAGAGAUUUUUUUUUUCUAACCACUUCAUAAAUAAUAAAACUGAGCAACAGAGAGGAUGGGUGGCUGACUUGUUAAGGAACUCCUAAUUAGUGCUAAAGAGUCUUAAAACCUAGGUUUCUGGGCUCCCAAUUCCAGGUUCCUUGGAAGUCAAGAGAAGACAAAAACAUACGAUCAUUUACUUUAUCCCUAACUUCACUUGAAUAAAACAUUCCAUAAGAUUAAGGUUAAUGCUUCCUUUGUCUGACACAUCUAUUUAAGCCAUAUGUCUGGUUAGUUUCAGCACGUUACUAGGCCAGUUCAGCAAUGCUCGAAAGCAAUUCAAUUUUCAAAGAACAGUUCUCGAGAUACAUACAAUAAAGCUCAGAUUAACCAGGAAUCAUCGAACCAGAGUUGUUUUACUUUCUACUUAUAAAGAACAUAAGAAAGCACUCUUGAUCUAAGGCAUGACACUGAGCUGGCUCACACCUGCUCUGAUCUUUAUUACUUUCUGUAUGUAAAAUUCUCACAGUACAGUAACUGUGAGGAAAAUAAUAAUUUUGUGCACAAUACUUUAGGUAGGAAGGAAACUAUAUUAAUAAUAAUUCAAUUUAAGUAGAAAUAUAAGUAAACUUAAUUACAGGCUUUUGAAAAUCCAAGCCUAUUUAUUUUAUCCAGUUUUAAAAUUCAAUUCCUAUUUAUUAACUAUUUAAACCUACUCUGUGGAGCAUACUUAUACCCCUCGAAAUUAUCAGAAUUAAGAAAAAUUCAGUAAUUCCUGUGUCAAAAAUAUUCUGUAAAAGUAAACUGUUCAACAGAGAAAAAAAAAAACAAAAAUACUGCAUGAAGCACAUAUGGUAAACAAAAAAACUGAAGUGAUUAUCAUAAUCAUGAAUUUUAAGAAACUGAAAAUGAUUAUCAAGGUAAACAAUAUAUGAAAUAUAACAAAUCCAAACAAGAUCAUGUACCUACAAAACCAAUUUUUCUAAAUACCAUCCUAACUUUUAAUAGCAGAAAAUAACAUUGUUUACUGCCUAAAACAUUGUACAGAAGAGAGAGCUCUAAAAUACUAAUCACAAGCCAAUAAAUCUUACCUUCUACAACAAAUUGCCCACUUCUGAAAUUUGUUUUCAUUACUACUUUUCUAUGUGCACUAACUUAAAGAAUUGCAAUGGUACAGUAAAAGAUACUUUGCAACUAGAAACAAAAUUCUAGAUUGUUUUCCAAAGUUGGGUACUUGCAUAUUAAAUUUUCUCAAAAGGAGACCCACCUGUGUAAUGUUCUUAUCUAUCUGGAACAGGGGUUGGUAAACUUUUUCUGUGAAGUGCCAGACAGUAAAAUAUUUUAGGUUUUGUGAAUUAUACAGUCUGUCAUAAUUAUACAACUCUGCCCUUACAGUGAAAAAUCUGCCACAGGUAUUACUUAAAUGAAUGGGCAACGCUGCAUUCCAGUAACAACUUAUUUCCAAAAAUAGACAACAGGCUAGAUUUGGCCCAUAAGCUGUAGUUUGCUGAUCCUUCAC
rnacentral:lncRNA from 1 species